rnacentral:rRNA from 1 species
CCUACGGGGGGCUGCAGUCGAGAGGCUUCGGCAAUGGGGGAAACCCUGACCGAGCGACGCCGCGUGGAGGAUGAAGGCCCUUGGGUUGUAAACUCCUUUUAUUCGGGAAGAAGUGCGAUCAGGUGAAUAAUCUGGUCGUUUGACGGUACCGGAUGAAUAAGCUCCGGCUAACUCCGUGCCAGCAGCCGCGGUAAUACGGGGGGAGCAAGCGUUGUUCGGAAUCACUGGGCGUAAAGGGCGUGUAGGCGGUCAAGUAAGUGGGAUGUGAAAUGCCCCGGCUCACCCGGGGACCUGCAUCCCAAACUGCUUGGCUUGAGUAUGGGAGAGGAUGAGGGAAUUCCUGGUGUAGCGGUGAAAUGCGUAGAUAUCAGGAGGAACACCGGUGGCGAAGGCGCUCAUCUGGCCCAAUACUGACGCUGAGGCGCGAAAGCUAGGGGAGCAAACGGGAUUAGAUACCCCGGUAGUC